rnacentral:rRNA from 1 species
UACGUAGGGUGCAAGCGUUAAUCGGAAUUACUGGGCGUAAAGCGUGCGUAGACGGUUAUGUAAGUCAGAUGUGAAAGCCCCGGGCUUAACCUGGGAAUGGCAUUUGAGACUGCAUAGCUAGGGUGCGGAAGAGGGAAGCGGAAUUUCCGGUGUAGCGGUGAAAUGCGUAGAUAUUUGGAGGAACACCAGUGGCGAAGGCGACUUUCUGGUCUGUAACUGACACUGAGGCGCGAAAGCGUGGGGAGCAAACAGG